GGAAGGGCUGCGGCUCAGUGGUAGAGCAUCUGUCUUACAUACAGAAGGUUCCAAGUUCAAUCCUUGGCAUUUCCA